UUUUCGAAGCGGGCAAUAUUGUAAAUGCAAUGCGUCAUUUAAAAAUCUGAAAGAAACACGAAGAAAUAUUCGAGAUUUCAGCAAACAACAAGAAUCGCUACGUUGACAAAUUUUUAAUAGGAUGGCAGACAAACGGAAGGCUAAAAAACGAAAAGAGGAAUUCGGGGAACUCCCCGAGUCAGAGAAGCCGACCAGUGAGGAGUACGCGGUCGCGAAAUGGCUGAAGGCCAACGUACCCACCAAGAAAACCAAGUUCCUUAACCACCAUGUAGAGUAUUUUACAGGUACAAAAGCAGUGGACGCGCUUCUAACAUCAAAAUGGGCGACGGGCAAGAACCCAAUAUUCACAACGCGCCACGAAGUCACCGACUAUCUGCAUCUAAUGCUGUUGCACAAACUAUUUCAUAGGGCUAAGAAGGUUCCAGUAACUGAGCAAGAGUUAAAAGGAAAGUCAAAAAAGAAGGAUGCAGAUAAAUCAGGCAAGAGUGGGGAUGAGAAAGACGAUGGCAAGGCAAGUGCUUGUGAAAGCAAGGAUACCAAAGAUGGCAAAGAUAAAGACAAGGAUAAAGAUAAGGAAAAAGAGAAAAAGAAACGCAAGAUCCGUCUAGAGAUGCACAUGGAACAGCUGUUCUUGGACAGUCUGGAUGCGUACGUGUGGAUAUACGACCCCAUGCCUUGGUACUAUUGGCUGUGUGGCGCGUUGGUGGUGUUUGGCACCAUUGGCGUGUGUAUGUUCCCGCUUUGGCCGGCUACUGUAAGAAAAGGGGUAUACUACCUGAGUAUUGCAGCUGCUGCUUUCUUAGUGCUAAUCAUAGCGCUGGCCGUGCUGCGAGUGGUGGUGUUCUGUCUGCUGUGGAUGCUGACUCUGUCGCGACACCAUCUGUGGCUGUUGCCCAACUUGACAGAGGACGUCGGCUUCUUUGCCUCGUUCUGGCCUUUGUAUAAGUACGAAUACCGCGGUCCGGGUUCCGAUAGCGACAAGGCGUCAAAAAGCAAGAAAAAACGUAAGAAAGACAAACAUUCCGACGAUGAGGAUGAAAAGACUCCCCUCGUGCAAGCGGAGCCGGAGGAAGAGACUAGCGCAAAGGCGAACGCUGCGCAAGAGCACACGGCUACUCAGGAAGAUACUAAAGAUGACACGCCAGAGCAAGUCCCGAGCACGGACAAACUCUCGGAAUCAGAAUCAGACAACAGUCAGCGGUCGUCCACAGACCGCGACUUUGAGAUUGUGGAGCCAGGAGACGUUGAAGAUCCCGACUCCAAAGAAGGAUCCGACUCCAAGGAGGAACCGGAUCCUAAAAGUAGCAAUACCACUUAGAUGUAGACAUAAUCAUAGAUAUUAUAGGCUGGCAAUACACUAAGCUGAGAUUAAUGGAGCGUACUUUGACCAUGAUCAAAGUACGCUCUAUAGAUUUCAGCCUAAACCUGAUCGCACAUCUACCAAAGCGCACCGUACGUACCGCAUUUUUAUUACGUGGUUCAAUAAGAUUUCGUCAGAUAAGUGUUGUCGCGAUAUUUGUUAAAAUACAUAAUAGAUUAUAGAUACCCUUAGAUUAAUGAAAUCGUACUUUGACAUUUGACAUUUACCUUUAUUCAUCGUACUUUGACAUUUGACGCAUGACAGUUGACACAUACCUAGAGCAAAUAUGGCGAGUGUGUUCUUAAAAUGUAUGCACUACAAUGGAGAUGGGUAUGUGCAUGGAUACUGAACGCGGGAAGCUAAGAUUGAUUAACGAACCAAUAGAGCGGCGGCACAGAAUCCCAUAUCGUGAAAUUUCACUUCGGACCACCAAAUAGACCGAUAAAUCAUUCACAGAAGUUCAAAGUCGGAAUUCUUUUACAUGAUUGCAUGAUAUAAUGCAUACAUUUAGUUCUCACUCGCCAAUUUAACUCUGUGUCAACUGUCAUGCCAAAAGUACGUUUUUAGUCCUUAACUAGCUGAUGCCCGCGACUUCGUCCUCGUGGAUUUAGGUUUUCAAAAAUCCCUUGGGAACUCU